GCCUUGGUGGUGUAGCGGUCAGCACGCUCGACGCAUAACUGAGAAGUCUGCGGUUCGAUUCCCGGCGAGGACA
rnacentral:tRNA from 1 species